AGAAAAAUGACGGCGAAUGAUGUGGCCAGUCUACAAGUUUCUUUACCUCAAAUGUUAGAUUUAGCAUUGGGGACUCCAGAAGUAAACAGAAUUAUUUUCUUUUCCUUUAUAUAUGCAAAAUAAUUAUUCAUGAAAUGAGAGAUAAGAAUUACUUUAACGACAGGUACGUCGUUUUACGUUCGCGUUUAGGUUGGAGCAGUAAAUUUAAAUAUCCUUCAUAACUUCCUUCACAUUCUACUACAUCACAUAAAUUUAAAAUCGACUAAGGUUGAGUAUCGUGGUGACGAUGCUAAACGAAUCAAGACAUUGGUAAGUUCUCUAAAAGAGGGUCCUUCGCUUUAUCUUCAAGAAUACAGUAUUAUCGAUGACAAGGAUGUAGAGAAAAAACGAGUUCAUCCCGAUGAAGGUAUAAGAGUGGAUGUGAUUGAAGAUGAGCGAUCUUCAGCAACAGUUUCAAGCACUGGAAGAAUUAGCGAAGACACCAGAACUUAUCGAGCGUUUAAAAGGCAAGAUCACGGAUCCCUUGACCGAUGUUUGGCAAAUUAUUAACAUCACCAAAAGAUUAGAUGCUAGUGAACAAGGUAUUGAUAAGUUAACGAAAAUGGUACAAGAUGUGAUGAAAGGUGACAUAAGCCUAGCGACAACCGAGAUAUCAAAGUUGGAAGAAAAGAUAACGCAUUUGGAAAACUCUUUAAACAAUUUGGAAAAUGUCGUUAAGAAUUUGCAUGUGAUCGCAAGCGAAUAUGGCGCAGAGAUGGAACAAGAAGUCGAAAAAGAGAUAAUAGAAGGUGCAGAGGAACCUCAUCCACCAGCGGCUCAACGAAUUUCGUUAAGCGAGCUCUUGGGUGGAAUAGAUAUAAAAGAGAUGCACAAAGACGUGGCUACGUUGCAGGAGGAGGUUAAUCAAAUAAAGAAUGAUUUGAAGAAUUUAGAGAACGAGUUCGGCCAGGCAAAAGAUGAAUUCGUCACUAAACUAGAUCAAAAACAUCAAACAAUACAAACACUAAAGGAGCAGCUCGAAGAAGUAGCGCAAGAAGCUAAGAAGAAAAUAGAGGUUGUAACUGAAAUAAAAGAAGUAGAAAAAGAAGAGCCUAAAGAAAUACCUAAAGAAAUACCUAAGGAAGUGCCUAAAGAAACACCUAGGGAAACUCCUACAGAUUCGCCAAAACCAAUGAAAGAGGAAAAAGGGGUAAAUUCGGAGGAAUUGGAGACCGUGAAAGGUCGAAUCUCAAAAUUAGAAAAGGAUGUGAUGAAUUUGCACGAGAAAGUAGAGACUACACACAUAAUCGAUGCUGCCAAUCUCGAGAACAUGGCGUCCAAAGUUCAGGAAAUGCAAGGUGAUGUGGAGAAAUUGACCCAGAUUACAGAUAAUCUGAUCGAUGAACGCGAAACUCGCGAGAUGCAUUUCAGCGCGUUACUAGAGCAAGUAGAACUUUUGAAAACGAUUAAAGCUGACAGAGAAGAUCUGGAGGAGGCGCUUGCCGAGAAAGCUGAUGCCCAGGCGAUACACAGAAAGGUGUCUUACGACCAAUUCGAUGCGGCUUGCGAUGAUCUCGCUCAUGGUCUCGAAGACGCGAUCAAUAAAUUAGGGCAACAGGAAAUGAUCUUGCAACAAGCUCUAGACGAAGUGCAAAAGGAGAUCGAGGGUAAAGUAGACAAGAUCGAGAUAUCUCCGUUGAAAGAGUUCGUGAACCAGCGACUGAAGGUGCUCCAAGAUAAGCUGAAGAAGGUGGCGGAAGCGAGAGAGGAAAUCGAGGCUGCUGGAACGAAGAAGUUGCUCAGGGACGUUCAAUGCAUAUCCUGUGACAAGGAUGUGGUCAUGAGGAUGGAUGGCGUUCCCAGAUUUAAAGUGGAAACAUUACCAUGCACCACAAGCAUGAAGCCAUAUCUGACCUACGAGUUGGAUCAAGUUAGAAAACAGCACAGGAAAUUGCCCCAUAGCAGAAAUAUGAUUCAAUUCGAGGCAGCUAUUCAAGAGGAGGCAAAGAAACAGAGGAGUGCGAGAGCAGAGGCACUUGUAAAGACUCCUAGAGAUCAUCUGUGCAAUCGAUACUGCGGCGGUAGUCACACGAUUACGACUCCACAGCAGAGAGUAAUGCGAGUGGGCCAUUUCCUCACUCAGUGGGGACCGGAAAUAAUUCAGCUGACGGAAGGGAUGAUAAAGGGAACGGAUGGUAGAAUGUACAAAAGUCGGCGUAUGCCAGAAAAAAUCGACGUUUGCGGGCCUGCAUACUGCGAUUUGCCAUCGGACAGACAGUCUGCGAUUUCCGUGAACUCCUCUAUACCACCGCAUAAACUAACUGCUGAGAAAAUGAUGUCUCCUAACCCAAGUAGAACGAAUAGACAUUUUUAUUCCGUUUCCUUUCAAAACAAUUUUCUUAUUAUGUCUAUUAUAUGUGAAUACGUGUAUUUAAAUAUAAAAUAUUCCGUUGCUGUAUUUUUUUAUUUUCUUAUGUAUAUUAUAACAAUGGAAAAGAGUAGAGAAGUUCGUUCUAAAAAAAAAGAUGAAAAAAAUUCAUCUUUUGAACAAAUUAUAAUAACACUAAUAUAAUUUCGAAAGGGGGAAAACGAAACAUGCCUAUGAAGAGAAGACCUCGGGAAAUGGCCAAAGAAGUGAUAGAAGAGCUUGCAGAAACAACUGCAACAGAGGGGGAAGAUCAGGAGUCUAUUGGUCCAAUCGAUGCAACGAUUUCUGAUCGUAUUAUUCGUUACACGGACGACGAGGACAUCGGGGAACAAGAUUAAAUAAAAAUCUGAAUAAACGUCUAAAUACAUUUUCCACGAAAUGAUUGAUUCAAAAUUUUCUAAUCACCUUAUCGUAAUCUGAAACAAAUUGUGAUCACCUGAAUAAUAUAAGGUAUAGUAUAAUAAAGAUGUAAAAAAUAUAAAAUAUCGAAGAAACCACACGCAUACAUCUAAAUCUGUUUAUUAAUUUCUAUAAGAAAGAAAUAUUGAAAUUAUCGAAAUUUGAAAAUGGAAUUAUCGAAAUCCAAGACAUAUAUUUUUACCUUCUCCUUUUCACUCUACUCGCAUAUGAUUUGUAUAAUAAAUAUCAACAAACAAUCGAUAGAUUAGGAAAACAAAAAACUGUUGUUUUAUUAAAUGUUUUAUUAUUAAGAGGGAAUUUCGGAGUACACAAGACUAUCUAGUGAAGUCGAUUUGGAACAUCGGUGGUCUGCUAGAAACAAAAAUACCACGCAUCAUGACUACACUAGAUCGCUCUUCGUUUAUUGCACAUCACACACCGUUCGAAAACCGUUUACAUAAAAGGUGUACACAGCGCUUCGAAUAGUCUUUUAUAAUAAUAUUGGACUCGUUCUCCAUUUUCCUCCAUUCGAUCAUUUCCCCAUCUUGACGUUCGAUCACAUCUUCCUACAAACGACUAUGCGCUAGUGUUUCUUGUAAUAAUAAUACAAUAUUUAUGUAUACGUGUAAUGAUGUAUACAUUUGGGGCUAGAUUCUACUUCAUAUAAAUUUCAAGGUACAGGAAGUAUCUACAAGUAUCUACCACAUAAUUUACGACUGUCUUGUUCUUGUGUUUUUUUCUUUUUUUUUUCUUUUUUUUCUUUUUUUCCUCCCCUUUUAUUCAUUUUGGUGAACGGCGUUUUUUUCUUUAAUCUACGUCUGCUAAAUAUACCUAACCUAAUAAUAAUAUUACCAUAGAUUACCUCGCUAUGAUCUUAAAAUCAACGGUAUACACGGAAUCAUGACAGUAAGAUCAUUGGCUUAUAAUGACACAAUGCAAUAAAUAGAAUGCCAAAUAAAUAUACGUACAGAUAGAUUA